AUGUAUAUAUGUACAUUCCUCCUAUGUUCAGGGUUAUUUUUUAAAUGCCUGAUAGGUUCUGUUUAACAUCUUUUGACUGUAAUGUUAUGACACUGAAUAAAAGGAAGAGUGAUUAUUCAUUAUA